GGAGGAAAAGAAACCAACAGGGAUUACCUCAGUAACGGCGAGUGAAGCGGUAACAGCUCAAAUUUGAAAUCUGGCUCUUUCAGGGUCCGAGUUGUAAUUUGUAGAAGAUGCUUUGGGUGUGGCCCCGGUCUAAGUUCCUUGGAACAGGACGUCAUAGAGGGUGAGAAUCCCGUAUGUGACUGGGUGCUUUCGCCCGUGUAAAGCUCUUUCGACGAGUCGAGUUGUUUGGGAAUGCAGCUCAAAAUGGGUGGUAAAUUUCAUCUAAAGCUAAAUAUUGGCCAGAGACCGAUAGCGCACAAGUAGAGUGAUCGAAAGAUGAAAAGCACUUUGGAAAGAGAGUUAAACAGUACGUGAAAUUGUUGAAAGGGAAGCGCUUGCAACCAGACUCGCAUGCCGUCGAUCAUCCUGAGUUCUCUCUGGUGCACUCGGCGGUAUUCGGGCCAGCAUCGGUUUGGGUGGUGGGAUAAAGGCCUUGGGAAUGUAGCUUCUUUCGGGGAGUGUUAUAGCCCUCGGUGCAAUGCCGCCUACCUGGACCGAGGACCGCGCUUCGGCUAGGAUGCUGGCGUAAUGGUUGUAAGCGACCCG
rnacentral:rRNA from 1 species